AUUUUCCAUAUAUGGUCUGACACAGGCCCUGGACACUUAGUAUUUCUCUUCCUUUUUGUUUCAAACUUUUUAUUUUGAAAUAACGUGAAACUGAUAGGGAAGUUGUAGAAACCAUACAAAGAACUCCUCUGUGCUCUUAACCCAGGUGCACUGAUUGGUACUUGGUGUUUUUAGAAAACAGGACGGGCCCGUGACAAGGCUGUGAGGGUUCAGCAGAUCGUCUGUGUGGCCUGUGCACUGGGAUUCAGGGAAUGCGGUCGCAAGUUGCAUAACUUUUGGGGGACCUGUCACACACAGUUACCAUGGGCUGGGUUUGACAUUAAACACAUUCUCCAGCUCAUUUGCAAUUCUUGCCUUCUUCCUUCUGGCACUCACCCAUGAGAAACCUCGGUUCAAGGAGAAACCUCUGUUUGAAGCCUCUGCAGCUGGUCGCCCACAUCUUCCUCAAUAUAAUGGGGCUCCAGAGACUCCACAGGCCGCGGAAUCCACCCGGAUGACCAGCGGCGCACAGUCAUGGCCCUUGUCACACGCCCGGGAUUCAGCAGACAACCGACUCGGUAACGUGCUGAGCAGUGUCCGGCUCACUGUCCGUGCUACAGAACUCUUAGCUGCUAUUACUCUAUUACCAUGACGUACAGAGUUUCACAACCUCUACACUAUUGACGUUUUGGCCCAGAUGAUCUUGGCUGUGUGGGGGCUGUCCUGUGCAUUGUGAGAUGCUGUGCAGCAUCAUUUCUUCCACUCACUGGACGCCGGUAACACUCCUCCAGUUGGGACAACUGAAAAUGUUUCCAGACAGUAUCCAAAUGCCCCCUAAGGGACAAAAUUCCCCCCAUCUCCCAUUGAGAACCACUUCUCUAGUAAUGAGGUUAUUCUAAAAAUUUUAACCAACUUAUCCAUAUCUCAAAUUAAUCAGUGUCUUUAUUCUUCUCUGAAACACAACAGG
rnacentral:lncRNA from 1 species